GACGAACGCCGGCGGCGUGCUUAACACAUGCAAGUCGAACGAUGAAGCCGGAGCUUGCUCUGGUGAAUUAGUGGCGAACGGGUGAGUAACACGUGAGUAACCUGCCCUUGACUCUGGGAUAACUGCGGGAAACUGUAGCUAAUACCGGAUACGACCCUCGGAGGCAUCUCCUGGGGGUGGAAAGAAUUUCGGUCAAGGAUGGACUCGCGGCCUAUCAGCUAGUUGGUGAGGUAAAGGCUCACCAAGGCGACGACGGGUAGCCGGCCUGAGAGGGUGACCGGCCACACUGGGACUGAGACACGGCCCAGACUCCUACGGGAGGCAGCAGUGGGGAAUAUUGCACAAUGGGCGCAAGCCUGAUGCAGCAACGCCGCGUGAGGGAUGACGGCCUUCGGGUUGUAAACCUCUUUUAGCAGGGAAGAAGCGAAAGUGACGGUGCCUGCAGAAAAAGCACCGGCUAACUACGCGCCAGCCGCCGCGGUAA
rnacentral:rRNA from 1 species